rnacentral:rRNA from 1 species
UGCGGAUUAAUACCCUAUGUUCUCCGAGGAUGACAUCAGAUUCGGAGUAAAGAUUCAUCGCUGGACGAUGGGGAUGCGUCUGAUUAGGCAGCAGCGGGGCAACGGCCCACCUGGCCGACGAUCAGUAGGGGUUCUCGAGAGGAAGGUCCCCCACAUUGGAACUGAGACACGGUCCAAACUCCUACGGGAGGCAGCAGUGAGGAAUAUUGGUCAAUGGGCGCGAGCCUGAACCAGCCAAGUAGCGUGAGGGACGACUGCCCUACGGGUUGUAAACUGCUUUUAUACAGGGAUAAAGUCGGCUACGUGUAGUCCGUUUGUAGGUACCGCAUGAAUAAGGACCGGCUAAUUCCGUGCC